rnacentral:rRNA from 1 species
CACGUAGGGGGCAAGCGUUGUCCGGAUUUAUUGGGCGUAAAGAGCUCGUAGGCGGUUCGGUAAGUCGGGUGUGAAACCUCCAGGCUCAACCUGGAGACGCCACCCGAUACUGCUGUGACUCGAGUCCGGUAGGGGAGCGUGGAAUUCCUGGUGUAGCGGUGAAAUGCGCAGAUAUCAGGAGGAACACCAGCGGCGAAGGCGGCUCUCUGGCCAUCAACUGACGCUGAGACGCGAAAGCGUGGGGAGCAAACAGG